rnacentral:rRNA from 1 species
CCUACGGGAUGCAGCAGUGGGGGAUAUUGCACAAUGGGGGGAACCCUGAUGCAGCGACGCCGCGUGGGUGAAGGAGUGCUUCGGCAUGUAAAGCCCUAUCGGCAGGGAAGAAGCAAGACGGUACCUGACUAAGAAGCCCCGGCUAACUACGUGCCAGCAGCCGCGGUAAUACGUAGGGGGCGAGCGUUAUCCGGAUGCACUGGGGGGAAAUGGAGCGUAGACGGCCAUGCAAGCCAGGGGUGAAAGCCCGGGGCCCAACCCCGGGACUGCCCUUGGAACUGUGCGGCUAGAGUGCGGGAGGGGCAGGCGGAAGUCCUGGUGUAGCAGUGAAAUGCGUAGAUAUCGGGAGGAACACCGGCGGCGAAGGCGGCCUGCUGGACCGCGACUGACGUUGAGGCUCGAAAGCGUGGGGAGCGAACAGGAUUAGAUACCCCUGUAGUC